rnacentral:rRNA from 1 species
UACGUAGGGUGCGAGCGUUGUCCGGAAUUAUUGGGCGUAAAGAGCUCGUAGGCGGUGUGUCACGUCGUUCGUGAAAACCUGCAGCUUAACUGUGGGCGUGCGGUCGAUACGGGCAUCACUGGAGUUCGGCAGGGGAGACUGGAAUUCCUGGUGUAGCGGUGAAAUGCGCAGAUAUCAGGAGGAACACCGGUGGCGAAGGCGGGGCUCUGGGCCGAUACUGACGCUGAGGCACGAAGGCCAGGGGAGCAAACGGG